rnacentral:rRNA from 1 species
GACGAACGCUGGCGGCGUGCCUAACACAUGCAAGUCGAACGAAGAGCGACGGAAGCUUGCUUCUAUCAAUCUUAGUGGCGAACGGGUGAGUAACGCGUAAUCAACCUGCCCUUCAGAGGGGGACAACAGUUGGAAACGACUGCUAAUACCGCAUACGAUCUAACCUCGGCAUCGAGGAUAGAUGAAAGGUGGCCUCUACAUGUAAGCUAUCACUGAAGGAGGGGAUUGCGUCUGAUUAGCUAGUUGGAGGGGUAACGGCCCACCAAGGCGAUGAUCAGUAGCCGGUCUGAGAGGAUGAACGGCCACAUUGGGACUGAGACACGGCCCAGACUCCUACGGGAGGCAGCAGUGGGGAAUCUUCCGCAAUGGACGAAAGUCUGACGGAGCAACGCCGCGUGAGUGAUGACGGCCUUCGGGUUGUAAAGCUCUGUUAAUCGGGACGAAAGGCCUUCUUGCGAAUAGGGAGAAGGAUUGACGGUACCGGAAUAGAAAGCCACGGCUAACUACGUG